rnacentral:rRNA from 1 species
AUUGAACGCUGGCGGCAGGCCUAACACAUGCAAGUCGAACGGUAGCACAGGAGAGCUUGCUCUCCGGGUGACGAGUGGCGGACGGGUGAGUAAUGUCUGGGGAUCUGCCCGAUGGAGGGGGAUAACUACUGGAAACGGUAGCUAAUACCGCAUAACGUCGCGAGACCAAAGUGGGGGACCUUCGGGCCUCACACCAUCGGAUGAACCCAGAUGGGAUUAGCUAGUAGGUGGGGUAAUGGCUCACCUAGGCGACGAUCCCUAGCUGGUCUGAGAGGAUGACCAGCCACACUGGAACUGAGACACGGUCCAGACUCCUACGGGAGGCAGCAGUGGGGAAUAUUGCACAAUGGGCGCAAGCCUGAUGCAGCCAUGCCGCGUGUAUGAAGAAGGCCUUCGGGUUGUAAAGUACUUUCAGCGGGGAGGAAGGGAUGAUGUUUAAUACGCAUCGUCAUUGACGUUACCCGCAGAAGAAGCACCGGCUAACUCCGUGCCAGCAGCCGCGGUAAAAC